rnacentral:rRNA from 1 species
UACGGAGGGGGCCAGCGUUGUUCGGAAUUAUUGGGCGUAAAGGGCGCGUAGGCGGCCAUUCAAGUCGGACGUGAAAUCCCUCGGCUCAACCGGGGAACUGCGUCCGAUACUGUCUGGCUCGAGUCCUGGAGAGGGUAGUGGAAUUCCCAGUGUAGCGGUGAAAUGCGUAGAUACUGGGAGGAACACCGGUGGCGAAGGCGGCAUCCUGGACCGGCAUUGACGCUGAGGCGCGAAAGCUAGGGGAGCAAACGGG